GAAUGAGAAGGUGUGUCCAAACUUUUGGUCUGUACUGCAUGUAUGUAUGUAUUCGGGGCAUGUAUGCAUACAUACGCGUACACACACACACACACACAUACACAAAUACAUACAUAUAGAUAGAUAGAGAGACAGAUAGAAGGUACACAUCUUACAACAUGAAUAAAUUAUGAAUCAAUGUGCAAUAUUUUUUAUUCCCUGCCCCCCACACAUAACACUCAUCUCACCCGAUCAGACACACACACUUCAUCCCUCUCACACAUAAGUACUUACCUUGUCUUGCUGGAUAACUCUGUGUAUGUCACAAAUUAUCUUUGUAUUCUUCUAUAUUAAUGGAAAGAUCACAUAAUGUUUGUUUGUCAUGUUUUACAGCAUUCUACACAUUUUCAGUCCAAGCCUGAUGCAGGGCAGUUCUCCCGGUUAAGGGGUCCCUGCUGCAGUUUCACCAGUAAGGAAAAUUACUUGUUACAAUUCACUUGAAGGACCACGUAAGCCAUGCAGUGGUGCAUGGAGGAGUGCCAAGAGGACAUAAAGUGGAAGUUUGUAAGGGACAUUGGUCCAGCGUGGUACAGAGUCCUCUUGGGUUAUUCUGUUGGGAGGUGACAGAGCCUGCCUUUAUCCAGAUGGACAGUAAAAAUCAACAGAAUGCCAUCAAAAACUACCUGGAGGGAGAAUAUAUUAAAGCAAGGAAACUCUUGCUUCCAGCGCACCAUCAGAGAGGGUUUUCAGUAUUUGCGGUCACAUACUGGAGCAGAGACAGAUUAAUCUGAUGCCCUCAUCAGUGAACGACAUGCUAUUCCUGGACGGGCACAUUAAGUAGUUGCACAGAUUUUUUUAUUAAUUCAGUUUAUUUUUAUUUAUUUAUUUAUUUUGCUAAAUAUUUAAAAUUGGUCUUUUGUUAUUGAGAAAAAAAUAUUUGUUUAAUGUUGCUUAUAGCAACAGUGUGUGUGUGUUGCUUAUAGCAAAAAAGGCAAUAGGCUUAUAUUAUAGCUACUUAAGCAGUAGGCCCUAGGCUAAUUUUCCUUUAAACAUGAAAUAAAUCCAGGUUUAUUAUUAUUAUAUAAUUGAUUAGGCUAUAUGCUACUAUAGCCUAAUUAUUAUAGGUAUAUAUUUUUUAUUUACAUUUCUCACUUUUUUUACUGUAUUUCUAUGUUCUAAGUUCCUUGUUUGUGUUCAUCCAUUAAAUUAAACGCAAAUAAAACAAAACAUUUGUUUCUUUUCCGUUUUUUUUUUUAAAUAUAUAUUCAACAGGGGAGCAAGUAAAAAAAAAGGCAGGCAGAAUAUUCAAUGUAUAAAAAAAAACUUGUACGUUUACCUGCAGGAUUUUGUGGGUGGGAGCGAGACGAAUCUUGAUGGUUUGCGGGCGGGAGUGGGAGAAAAUAACAGAUUUUUGCAGGAGCGGGACAAAAUCUUGCGGUAGGGGAACAAAAAAAUCCAUCCUGCGCAGGGAUGCAUUUCCCAUACAAUGAUUAAACUCGUUGAUUAACCACUAUAGUACGAUGCAUUGUUAUGGAAACGAGCGAGCUAGUCACAACUGUUUUCCGAAACCAUAGCACCUGUGUCACAGAUCCAUCGUUCAAAUUACGUUGGUUUGAGCCAUCGUUCUUCUUCUUCGAUCUAAUGGCGGACUGGAGCCGUGAGCACAUACCACCACCUACAGUAAUUUGGUUUUAUUUUCUGUCUGAGUGACAUUUCUAGCUGGAUGAAUGACCAUCACCUUCAGCUUAACCUUAUGAAGACAGAACUCCUGGUGAUU